UCUUCGCUGCCAGGGGAGGUGAGUGUUCGGUGAGAGAGGAGAGGUGGUAGAGGACAUUCGGAAGGUAAGGGUCAAGAUGAUGGUCAGACGAGCUGAGGUGUGGGCCUUCUGCCGGCUGGAAAGCCGAGUAGAGCGUAUGCCUUCGAACUGGGCAGUCCCAGAAGGCCUCGACCGGAGCAGCCGGGACCAUAAAGGGACUCGCAGGCGCCUGAGUGGCGACGAAGACGGCGCUGCGCAGGCGCGGUGUGACCAUCGGGCCCGCGCAGGCGCAGUCUGGCGGCGGCCCCUGAGCACGCGCGGAGUGGACGCCCGUGGUUGGCAGGCGGGUUGAACAGGCUCGUCUACUGUGUCAGGUGUGUCUCGCCCGUCUCUGUCGCCUGUCAUGCUUUCCGCAGGGGCGUUUGUGGUGUGCGGCCGCCGCCAUGUAGGAGCCUCCGCAGGGAGCCGGCCCUGCCUCUCACGCGCGCGGCUCAGGCCUGCUCUCCCCUCGGCGCGCAUCGGGGCGACGCACUCUGCCCUUCUAGCCCGCGCCGGCCGGUGACGCCAUCGGAAGGCGACCGGAAGAGCCGGCGCCGCGUGUCCGUCCGACUAUGGCUCCGCGUCACCUCCGGCCCCUCCCCUCUUCCUGUGUCCCCUCUCCGUAUCCCGUCCCUUUUUCCCUUUUCUGACUGCAAAGUGGGCCUCUUUAACCUGUUUCUGGGUCCCGUGGGGAAGAAUGAGAAGCAGAGUAGGAGGCGAGGGAGCAAGGAGCGAAGGAAGGUCCUCCCUGCAGAUUGUCUGCAAUCAGGCCACACUUUGGUUGGAGCAGGUGCACGGAUGAAUUUGUCUCUUUCAAGUAAACAGGUGUUUAAUAACGGUUUCACAUUUAUAUUUAGUAUGUUGUCAUCACUGCUAAGAGUGGAGACCUCCCUGGCCAGCAAGGGGACCGACCACCCAGGAUGACCGACCUUCCAGGGGCUCGGCCCUGGGUGCCCUGUGGGAGAGCUGGGGCCAGGCAGGCUUCUACUGGGGUCUUGCAAGGAGGGGUUGGGGAGGGUGUGUGCCUGGCCUCUGCCCUCACCUCCCUCUUCUCCCAGCCUGUCUUAGCUAAGGUCCUCCAGCUCAGAGGUUACUGUGUAGGUUUAGCCUCUCCGACUUCUUCCUGUUGUUUAGUCACUCGUUACCUCGUGCACCAAGAGGAAGGCGUCCUGGAGCUGCAUCCUUCCUGCGUGGGCCAUGGGGGCGUGAGUGCGAGGAGUGGCUCUGGCCAUUAGGAGCCCUUGAUAUCAGACUCCUUGAUAUUUACUCCGUGAAGUCCUCAAGGAUGUCCUUCUUUCCAACAUCCUGUUUGCAGCUGGAGAUGUGGGGUCAGUUUGCAAGGAAAAAGAAGUUCAGACGGCUGGUCCCUGGAGAGGCGAUUUACUGCAUAAAUGGCGAAAUCGAAGGAUGAACACUGAUGGUGGCAGUGAUGGUAAUGUGGCCAUUUGUCGGGUGUAUUGGGUAGUGGGUGAAGCAUUUGGGACACGUUUUUUUAUUAAACCCUCAUCGUAAACCUAAGCCUCACCUUCGCUAUCCUGGUUUUACCCAGGAGGAGGUUGAGUCUGGGAGCCUCAGGGCCUGAGCUGGGUUCACGCUGCGUAAGAAGAGGAGGGAGGGGUUACAGGGAGCCUGUCCUUCUCCAUUUGCUG